rnacentral:misc_RNA from 1 species
ACAAGUCGUAACAAGGUUUCCGUAGGUGAACCUGCGGAAGGAUCAUUAACAAAUCAAAAACUACUUGUUGAAAUGUUAUCCGUUUGCUACCUGCCAUCACAUCUGUCUUUACAAUUUUGCAAGGAUGGAUUUGGCAAGUAGCAACGGUUAUUACCAAUUACUCUUUAUUUAACUAAACAAAAACAGUUGAAAAACAAAAACAACUUUUAACAAUGGAUCUCUUGGCUCCUA